rnacentral:lncRNA from 1 species
UUCAGUACAGUACAGGUACCUACGUUCGGUUCUUUUAGUUCACAAGGAUUCUUUUAGAUCUUCCGUAAAUUUUUACAAUAGUGAUAGUUUUAGUAUAUUCACCACCAACGAUAUACAACAACAAAGUUUCUUUCAAGUGUUGACACAACUCUAGUUUUAUUUUCUAACUCUUCCUAUUUUUUGCAACACUUGUAGACUCAAAAACACACAAUUUGUACUAAAAACUAGAAAGGUGUAGAAACAAAUGUGAAGUUGCGUAAUCUUCUUUGCGCUUCUACUUCUUCUUUUAUUUGCUUGAUUAGUGUUCCGAUUCCUUAUUUUCCGGGAUCACAUAACAGCAAUUAUUGGAGGUAUUUCCUUGUGGCCAAAAAUAUUUAAGAGUGACACCCAAUGGUAGCCUCAUGAAUCUAGCUUGAGAUGUGUGGCUAGA